rnacentral:ribozyme from 1 species
UGCUUUCGAUCCCUUCCCACUUCACAGUUGCAAACGUCCACCAGUCCGAGAUCGCGAUAGCGGAGU